AAAAUGCGAUAAGUAAUGUGAAUUGCAGAAUUCAGAAAAUCAUCGAAUCUUUGAACGCACAUUGCGACCGCCAGUAUUCUGGCGGGCAUGCCUGUUCGAGCGUCAUUUCAACCCUCAAGCCCAGCUUGGUGUUGGGACUCGCGAGUCAAAUCGCGUUCCCCAAAUUGAUUGGCGGUCACGUCGAGCUUCCAUAGCGUAGUAGUAAAACCCUCGUUACUUGUAAUCGUCGCGGCCACGCCGUUAAACCCCAACUUCUGAAUGUUGACCACGGAUCAGGUAGGAAUACCCGCUGAACUUUA
rnacentral:misc_RNA from 1 species